rnacentral:rRNA from 1 species
UACGUAGGGGGCGAGCGUUGUCCGGAUUUAUUGGGCGUAAAGAGCUCGUAGGCGGUUUGGCAAGUCGGGUGUGAAAACUCCGGGCUCAACUCGGAGACGCCACUCGAUACUGCUAUGACUCGAGUCCGGUAGGGGAGUGCGGAAUUCCUGGUGUAGCGGUGAAUGCGCAGAUAUCAGGAGGAACACCGGUGGCGAAGGCGGCACUCUGGGCCGGUACUGACGCUGAGGAGCGAAAGCGUGGGGAGCGAACAGG